rnacentral:rRNA from 1 species
AUUGAACGCUGGCGGCAGGCCUAACACAUGCAAGUCGAACGAGUGGCGGACGGGUGAGUAAUGUCUGGGAAACUGCCUGAUGGAGGGGGAUAACUACUGGAAACGGUAGCUAAUACCGCAUACCAUCAGAUUUGCCCAGAUGGGAUUCGCUAGUUGGUGGGGUAACGGCUCACCAAGGCGACGAUCCCUAGCUGGUCUGAGAGGAUGACCAGCCACACUGGAACUGAGACACGGUCCAGACUCCUACGGGAGGCAGCAGUGGGGAAUAUUGCACAAUGGGCGCAAGCCUGAUUCAGCCAUGCCGCGUGUAGGAAGAAGGUCUUCGGGUUGUAAAGUACUUUCAGCGGGGAGGCGUUACCAGCAGAAGAAGCACCGGCUAACUCCGUGCCAGCAGCCGCGGUAAUUC